AAUCCUAGCUCAGGAUGAACGCUAGCGGCAGGCCUAACACAUGCAAGUCGAGGGGCAGCACGGUGUAGCAAUACACUGGUGGCGACCGGCGCACGGGUGCGUAACGCGUAUGCAACCUACCCAUAACAGGGGGAUAACACUGAGAAAUUGGUACUAAUACCCCAUAACAUCAGGACCGGCAUCGGUUCUGGUUGAAAACUCCGGUGGUUAUGGAUGGGCAUGCGUUGUAUUAGCUGGUUGGUGAGG
rnacentral:rRNA from 1 species